UUUGAUGAAAAUAAAAUAUCCAAUAAAAUAUUUAAAUAAUUCAACACAUAAAUAUAUUGAAAUUUGAAAAUAUAUCUAUCUCAAAGUACCUCUGAUGGCGUUCUUCCUCUAUGGAGCCGCGCGAUUCUGUUGUUCGAGAGAUCAAGCAUUCGUAACUCGCGCAGACCACGAAGUGACGCGAAUGAAAAUUCACGAAGCUCGUUGUGCGUCAAAUUUAAACACUUGAGCGAUCUAAGAGGACGAUCGAAAGAUGCCUAUCAAACGUCGAAUGGCGAAGAAGACCAUCGAAUACCAGCCGUCCAUUGCAAUAAAAAUUUAAUCCGCGAAACGGAAGCGCACGACAUAAUAAUUACAUUAGGAUGUAGUAAUUGACUUAAUGCACGGAACAUUGAACGAACGCCUCCACGCGUUAUCAUACAUCGCGAUCGUGCACUUGCACUUCAUAUGGAUAUCUACAUGUUUUAUAAACCGCUAUUGCUUCGAUAUAAACAUCAUAUAGAUAACGAUAUUUAUUAAAUUAAAUUAUAGUUUAAUAAACUAAUAUAAACUAUUUA